UACGUAGGGUGCGAGCGUUAAUCGGAAUUACUGGGCGUAAAGGGUGCGCAGGCGGUUUUGUAAGCCAGAUGUGAAAUCCCCGGGCUUAACCUGGGAAUGGCAUUUGGGACUGCAAGGCUGGAGUGCGGCAGAGGAGACUGGAAUUCCUGGUGUAGCAGUGAAAUGCGUAGAUGUCAGGAGGAAUACCGAUGGCGAAGGCAGGUCUCUGGGCUGACACUGACGCUCAUGCACGAAAGCGUGGGGAGCAAACAGG
rnacentral:rRNA from 1 species